CGCAGAACAGCACAAAGACUGGCACACACGCAGAAUGAAGCGCGUGUGAACUGAUCACAGCUGGAAUUGCGCUAUUGUGAACAGAGGACAUAUCAGAACUCCACCAUGAUAUAUAAGGAUAUAAUGUAAAAUGAUUCUUGAUUUCGUAAGGAUUUGAUGGUCCACAUACUGUAACUGAGUAUUGGUGAUGGAGGGAAUCAACCUUUGUGGAUGUGGUGCUAAUGAAGCAGUCUGCUUUGUCCUGGAUGAUGUCUAACUUCUUGAGUGCUUUUGGAGCAGCACUCGUUCAGGUAGAGCCUCCAUCUGUUGAAGAUGUCUUGUGUGCUCUCUUCCCCACUUCCAUAUAUCAAAUGAAUGAAAUGCUAUCAAUAAAGAAAAUGACUAUUUAUAACUGGAAGCAUAAAUACACUGGGUCACACGAAAGCUUAAGAAUUACCUUUAAAAAGUUUUGAAGAUAAAUGGAUGUUGUUUGUGAGGAAGCUCGCAGCAUUUCAAUAAGAGUACUGAGCAGGAAUGCAUCUGCUUCCAACAUGGUAAGCUUGGUGAGAUCACAAUAUUGAUGAAUGCACCUACAGGGAAAAAAAGAUUUAAGAGAUUUAAAAAUAUGUUGAUGACAUUCCUGCCACACAUAUGGUGCGUCAGCACGAAGCAAUACUUGAAAAAGAUAUACAUUGGUCAGAAAAUUCAGAAUAUAUGAGGACAAUAAAGUUGAAGAAACAGAAAAAUCUUUGAAGUCACCUUUGUCUUGUGGUGUAGACAUUUUACGCAUAUCUUCCAGUUUGAUAGCACUUGAAGAACAUAUUAAUCUGAGCAAGUUGAUUUGGUUCAGGGUAUUUUGAUAUUUUUUGCUGUUGAAACUAAUCCUCAUUUUCUUGCAUCUUCCAUGAACUGAAAAAUAUUUGUGUCAUACUCAUGUUUAGAUUUUCCACGAACUACGAUAUCACCAGUGUUAUGGAGAUAACUUGGUAGCUUUUAUAUGAUAUAAAACAGAUGUUGUUGGAAUAUACCCUAGUUGAUGGACAAUUCAAAUGAGAAUCUGAGAAAACAAUAUCCACUAUUCUAAAAGUUGUCAGUUCCAGUGACUCUGGGGAAAGUGUAUGGAGCAAUACUUUUGGCAUCAUGCUUUGAAAAAUACUUGAUUCCUGGAGAUUUGGGUAUUCCAAGCUAGGAAUCCUAUGUGGACAUAUUUUUGUGCAUUUUUAGUCAACUUGGAUCAGAACAUACACAUUGAGUGCCAUCUUUCUUCAAAAUUCAUCAAUGUGAAGCUUAACUUUAUGAACAAUGUUGUUUUGUAGCAUGGGACGCACCUUCAGUUUUAGUUUAUCCUGAGCAUGAAUAUGGCACUUGGAUGGAGGGUCAGUGUCGGGUUGGGCAUCUCUUCCAGAUACAAUAAUGCACUGCCUUCAAAGUUACCAAUAAAAUUAAAUCAGUCUGUGUAGAGGUUAGUCAGAUCAUGCAUAAAGUCAAUGUUGCAUUCAGAAUUUUUGAUGUUUGAAUUAACUAAUGAAACAUGAUGAUAAUUGGAUCUGUGCAUAUAUUUAGAAAAUGGUAGAGGGUUCUUCUGUAAAAUGUAAAAGGCUUCAGUAUCCAUUCCAAUACAUUGGCAUGAAAGAUGAGUAAUGCCAAUGCUUGGGAUGCCAGACCCAUGGUAAACAGUUAGCUUAUCAUGUGUGGUCUAUGUAACAUUCUGCUAUUUUGUUUCGUACAACAUGUGAAAAGAGAUCAAAUUUGCACUCACAUCUGUGUCUACUUUUUCAUAUAGUGUGUGUUGUCCAUUUAUUGGGGAUAGAUCACUUGGAUAGAAUUAAGGUUUCAUCUUUGCUGCUGGUGCCCAUGUGGUGUAUCAAAUUGACUAUAUGUACUGUCUGACUGUAUACUACAAGCUGUAACACUGCACUUACCUCUUGGACUUUGUUAACAUGCUUGCAAUAAACAAAUGAAAGGUACAUUGUAAUUAAGAAUCACACAAAAGCAAAUUUUAGGCAUUGAUGGGUAAUGGUGAUAUGCUUAUGGGCCAGCCAAUGAGACAAAAUAAUAAAAAAAAGCACUGAUUCAUUGUUCAUUGCUUUCCAUAUGAAGAAAGUUUAAUUACUUAGGUAGUCAUUGAGCUCUCCGUAUUUCCUCCUGGCAAAGCAAUUUGUGUUCAAUUAUUUAAGCCAAUUGGAUUUCCAUGACAUUGUAUAGAUAAAUGAUGUGCCGUAUUAAUGAGACACUCAGUUCAU